ACUAUUAACAAACCCUUUUUUUAGUGUGAUGAAAUUCAACAGAAAUCCUGAAAAAUAUAUAGAUCAUGCAAAACUUCUGACAGAGAGUUUGAUACCUGCGAAAAAUACGACAUUCGAUUUGACAAGACGUGUGUAUACAGCGGACGACUUAUUUAAAGCAAUAAAUUUAGUCCAGAGUAGUCCACCAAAUGUUACAGAAGAACGCAAAGUUACAAAAACAGGUAGAUGGAAUCGUAUAGAAGACACAUCCAUAUUCAAAGGACUACCUUUGGGAGUUUUACCGGGUCAAGAUAGAAACAACAAUCCUCUUUUACAAUGGGAACUUGAUAAAUUUUCAGGUACUGAAUAAGAUAAUGGUCUCUGAUUUCACUUGUAAAAAAUAUUUUAAGGUUUUUUUCUAAUAAGAGCUAUUAUUUAAUUACCCUA